ACAGAAAUGAGGCUCCCCAUGAUACUCUUGUGGAGAAUCGGGUAAAAUGUAGGCUGAAUUAGAUGACUGUUAGGUGGAUUUGUUGCUGGUUGACAAGUGGGGUGCUGCAGGGAUCUGUCCUGCGCCCCUUGUUGUCCAAUGUCAUUCUAAAUGACUUGGAUAAAGGUGUUGAGGAGAUGCUCAUCCAAUUUGCAGAUGACACCAAACUGGGAGGUGUAGCCAGUCCCGCAGGAGACAGAAUCGAGAUUCAAGAUUACUCAUUCAUUCAACCUUUAUUGGCAUAAUUUCAAUAUUACCUUAACAGAUUGGAGAACUGGGUCCAAACUAACAGAAUGAAUUUCAGUGGGGACAAAUGAAAGGUUCCAGUUAGGCAAGAAGGACUAGAUUCACAAAGAUAAGAUGAAGGACACCUAGCUUACUACUUGUAUGUGUGAAAAGGAUCUAGGGGUCUUAGUAGGCCAUAUGCUUAACAUGAGUCAGCAGUGUGAUGCAGCAGCAAAAAAAGCUAACACUAUUCUAGGCUGCAUCAACAGGAGUAUAAUGUCACCUGGGGCAGGCCGCACCCACUGCACCCACCUUGCUCCACCUCUGAUAGCAACUAGCCAUGAUGAUGGUGUACUAUUUGGAGACAUGAUGUCUCUGAAUACCAGUUGCUGGAAAACGCAAGUUGGGAGAGUGCUAUUUUGCUCCUGUCCUGCUUGUGAGCUUCCCAUAGGAGAAGCGGGUGUUUAACGAGAUGGAUCUCUGGUCUGGUCUGUGUGGGGCCUGCUUUCGAGGAAUAACUGGAGCCAGGUAAGUAGAGUGGCCUACCCACUGCCCGCAAGGUGAUCCAGGUCCAGGAGGAUGCCAUGGUCAAGGACAGUGAAAUCCACCAAAAGAAUCACAGUCUGUCUGUCAACCUAGUAGCAAUUUGUGCAGGGAGUAGUUUCUAUCACAUAAUAGAAACUUAGCUUAUUUCAAAAUCCAGUAUUUACCAGUGAUGACCCAGCCAAAUUUGAGCACUUUUAAGUUCCACUUACUAAAAUAGGAGAGAGAGAUGUGCUUAACUUACUCACUGAAAGCAAUGAGGCUUAAAUAGUGAACUCCCUUUACUUGGGAGAUAUUUUAGAAGAGUGAACAAUAAAAUAAAUAAUAAAGGGAAUAUUAUAAUGCAAAUCAGAUAGAAAAUAGAUAGAUAUGCAUACGUAAACAAAUACUGGAAUUAUAUACUUAUAAAUGGGUAAAACAAACUGCAAAAUAAAGAAAUUUUGUGAAACUCUUCAACUCUUAUAGGAAUGAAUGUUAAACUAUAGGCACAACAGAAAGACUGUUUUACCAAUCUGUUGUGCAAGUUUACUAAGAAAACGUUUGCUAAUUUAAAAUGCAAAAGCGGGCAGAAUUUCUCCAGCUACUGCUAGAUUGUCUGACCAAUAAAGGAGAUAAACAAUAUGUUCUCUGUUACAAGCGAGCCAGCAGUUAGAGAAUUGGAUGUUCUGCAACUCUGUUUCUACAAGUACAGCCUUCCUUCAUUCUGUACUCUUGCACAGCACCCUUUCACAACUGCUGUGUGCAUUGCCUGGAAAUAAGACGCUUGGUCUGGAAACUGAACUUCCACAAGCAUUCGUGGCUGCACUAUAAUCAUUUUUAGCUGCUGGCAAUCUAACUUUCAUGAGCAUUACUAUGGUUGUUGAUAUACUUAUCCUAAAUUAGUUAAUAUGUUUUCUAAUAAUAUGCUAGCUAAAAGUUCUUACCAACUAUCUGCGCUUUGAUGGCUGGUGUACAUUUGGUCCUGUGCACGGGGGUGGAGAGGAAAGGAUUUUCUGGUCCAGUACUUUGUAUGUGGAUGGGGUUCUCUGACCCACUCACAGAAGACGAUACACAUUUACAUAAAAUUUGCAUGUGCACAUUUAUGCCCUCUUUGCAGGUGGAGUGGAGGUCCCAAAAAUAAAUCAUUAGCUACACACAUAAAAAAUGUGAACAAGUGAAGCUUUCCCAAUAAUUGCAUUUCCAUACUAGAAGUAGCUUAAUUUCUGCAUGCCACAUAGCUGAUCCCUCCCUUCCCCCAAUGCCAAUCUUAAACCAAAGUCUAGUCUAUAAUCCAGUGCCCACCUUCCUGGGAGUGCACCCAAUAGAGACAGAUAAACAUGCACACCAUUGCCCUGGAAGUUGGUUGUACAGUGGAUUCUUAAUGAGUCUUCAGUUCCUGCACAGCUGAAGACAUGCUAAGCCUCUCUGCAAAGUUCUCAGUUUUCUUUAACAUCCACUCACACUUAUUGGUAUUUGCAGAUAUAUAUAUUAUAUUUGCAGAUAAUAACUUAUAUUAUAUUAUUGGUAUUUGCAGAUAAUAACUUAUAGGGAGUACCAGAUCUCAGACGAACCCACACAGAAAAUAUGCAUCCUGGUUGCUAGGGAAAAAAGGAAGGACAAACUACAGAAAUUAAAAGGACUAGAAAAUGAGCAGAAGUGCACUAAAGGAGGGGGGGUGAACAUUAGCUCUUUGGGACCCCAGACAUUGCUCUCACUUAGUGUCCAGACAACUCACUCAUCAAUCACAUCUCUGACUUUACUCAUUGGAAAAAAGGACUGAAGGGCUGGCUCAUCUCACUGAAAUCCUAGAAGGGUACAUGCACAUUUUGCUUCAUGGCUUCCUUUCUAGGAGGGCUAGACACUUGCCUUAAAAAAAAUGAAGACGAAAGCUGUGUCUG